GAACCUGCCUGGACACUGCUCUGGUUGGGAGUGACUGGGAGUGACUGCCUGCUGUGAGUGCAAGACUUGCAGGGCCACAGAUAAGAUGCAGGCGGAAUCUUGAGAGUGUUGAGCCCCUGGAGGGGGCCUGGCCAACCAAGCCCCCGGCUUAGCAGCAUUCCAAAUUUUACACAAUAAAGCAGACAGCAUUAACAUAAAAUCAGAGCUGCAAUUUGUUCAAGGAUUGAUGAUGAUAACAGCUUGCCACCUUUCUGGGAUUAUAAAUGGAACCCCAAACUGCAAUGUUUGAAGUCUCACCUAUGGAGCAGACACACUGCCUGGGACCCUUUCCUGGUUGGGACUCGAGCUGUUUAAGUCUGGAUGUUGGUCAAAACCCAAUUAGGCUUUAAAAAACAAAUCCUUUCUUUCAAGGACUGAUGAGGAGCUAAUAGUCCCCAUUUUGGCUUUGGGAGAGAUGGAAAGAAAGCCCAAGAAACUGGGAAAGGAAGCAGUAGAAAGUGAAGCCACGUUUGGACAAUCCGACCCCAUGAAAACCCAAGGAAUAUUUAUUAGGCUCCACCUGAAUGUUAUUCUCAGCUGGGUGAUCAGAAGAGGCAAGAAACAACUUUGAAAAAUUUUAAUCUCCGCUCAUGAGUAGCCUGCUGGAAGGGGAAAAGAGGAUGGAAAACCAGCUUUGGAGAAUUUGAUGGACCAAGACUGGAAGAAGUAUUACAUCACUUCUUCAUCCCCUUGGCUAGAGCUCAGACGGAGGACUAACAAGACGGUUGUGAAAGGCACUGUUCUUGGUUCUGGGUCAGUGAAGAUCACACACAGAAUAUGCUCUGUUGGGGCUUCUGUUCUUCUGAGGUAGGAGACAAGGUUCCAGGGACACAGACAUUUGGGUUGUUUCUAUAUAUUGAUUACUGUGAAUUUUGAACAAUGCUGCAACAAAUAUGGGAAUACAGAUAAAAACAUGCAAAGUAACAUUUGCGAUAACACUAUGAGAGUACAUCAUGAGAAACACUGGGCUGGAAGAAGCACAAGCUGGAAUCAAGAUUGCUGGGAGAA